rnacentral:lncRNA from 1 species
ACUAGAUACAAAUCUAUCUCAAAAGUUUAGAACAUUUUCUCCUUUUUGAUAAUAUUCAAUGAAAAAUAACAUUUAGAAAAAACUUUUUCCAUGAGGAAGGAAUAGUAAUAUCCAC